rnacentral:rRNA from 1 species
ACGAAAGUCUGAUGGAGCAACGCCGCGUGAGCGAAGAAGGCCUUCGGGUCGUAAAGCUCUGUUGUUAGGGAAGAACAAGUAUCGGAGUAACUGCCGGUACCUUGACGGUACCUAACCAGAAAGCCACGGCUAACUACGUGCCAGCAGCCGCGGUAAUACGUAGGUGGCAAGCGUUGUCCGGAAUUAUUGGGCGUAAAGCGCGCGCAGGCGGUCCUUUAAGUCUGAUGUGAAAGCCCACGGCUCAACCGUGGAGGGUCAUUGGAAACUGGGGGACUUGAGUGCAGAAGAGGAAAGCGGAAUUCCACGUGUAGCGGUGAAAUGCGUAGAGAUGUGGAGGAACACUAGUGGCGAAGGCGGCUUUCUGGUCUGUAACUGACGCUGAGGCGCGAAAGCGUGGGGAGCAAACAGGAUUAGAUACCCUGGUAGUCCACGCCGUAAACGAUGAGUGCUAAGUGUUAGGGGGUUUCCGCCCCUUAGUGCUGCAGCUAACGCAUUAAGCACUCCGCCUGGGGAGUACG